rnacentral:rRNA from 1 species
UACAGAGGUCCCAAGCGUUGUUCGGAUUCACUGGGCGUAAAGGGUGCGAUAGGUGGUGAGGUAAGUCGGAUGUGAAAGCUCCGAGCUCAACUCGGAAAUGGCAUUGGAAACUAACCUUGCUCGAGGGUUUGAGGGGGGACUGGAAUACUUGGUGUAGCAGUGAAAUGCGUAGAUAUCAAGUAGAACACCAGUGGCGAAGGCGAGUCCCUGGAAAACUCCUGACACUGAGGCACGAAAGCUAGGGGAGCAAACAGGAUAGAUAC